GUAGGGAAUAUUGGACAAUGGGGGCAACCCUGAUCCAGCGACGCCGCGUGAGUGAUGAAGGCCUUCGGGUCGUAAAGCUCUGUUGCAGGGGAAGAACACAAUGACGGUACCCUGCUAGAAAGGAUCGGCUAACUUCGUGCCAGCAGCCGCGGUAAGACGAGGGAUCCUAGCGUUGUUCGGAAUUAUUGGGCGUAAAGCGGGUGCAGGUGGCUUGGUAAGUCAGAUGUGAAAGCCUGGGGAUUAACCCCAGAAGUGCAUUUGAUACUGCUGAGCUUGAGUGCUGGAGAGGCUAUUAGAAUUCCUGGUGUAGUGGUGAAAUACGUAGAUAUCAGGAGGAAUACCGGAGGCGAAGGCGGAUAGCUGGCCAGACACUGACACUCAGACCCGAAAGCGUGGGGAUCAAACAGGAUUAGAAACCCCAGUAGUCC
rnacentral:rRNA from 1 species